AAGUCGUAACAAGGUUUCCGUAGGUAACCUGCGGAAGGUCCAAUUACCCUUUCUGGCUGAUUUUAAAGUAAGCUUGUCUGGGGGCUGCAUUUCUGCAGUCUCUGACUACAUCCGUGUUUUUUGCGUACUACAUGUUUCCUCGGCGGGCUUGCUUGCCGGUUGGACAAACUAAAACUCUUUGCAAUUGCAAUCAGCGUCUGAAUUAUAUAAUAAUUACAA
rnacentral:misc_RNA from 1 species